UUGGAUUACCGCUUAUUUUCCCAGCCAGUGGUACCACCAUAAACCUAUACAGAAAUGUGCAGGCUAACACACUACCUAUAUCAAAUGCUGACAUACUCGCCACUGGGAGGCGAAAAUGGCCAAUUGUUGCAUCCAUAACCUCACCUUGUUCAACAAAUAAAGAGGCCAUUUGUGUAAAUAUAACUGAAUACAUUAUUGUGCAUAGCCAAAUUGGACACAUUCUUAUACUGGGAGCCGAAAAUGGCCAAUUGUUGCAUCCAUAACCUCACCUUGUUCAACAAAUAAAGAGGUCAUUUGUGUAAAUAUAAUAGAAUACAUUAUUGUGCAUAGCCAAAUUGGAAACAUUCUUAUGAUGCAUUUUGCUUCUUCAACUUGUGUUAUUGUGCAUAAUCUCCAAGGGUUAAAUGCUGCUCUUUCUCUAUCUUCUCCUGUCACUAUUG
rnacentral:lncRNA from 1 species